rnacentral:rRNA from 1 species
UUUUCUAUAAAAAUCCUUCAUAUUGACUAUGCUGACUUGAGUAACGGAAAUCUACUAGAUUCAGCUAUCCAUGGUGAUAAGAUUCGUAAAUACCGGUCAUUA